CCCAACUAUCCCUAUUAAUCAUUACGGUGAUCCUAGAAACCAACAAAAUAGAACCAUGCCGUCCUAUUCUAUUAUUCCAUGCUAAUGUAUUCGAGCAAAAAUGCCUGCUUUAAACACUCUAAUUUUUUCAAGGUAAAGGUCCUGGAUCCGCAAGACACCCAAUAAAGGACAUCAAGUUUCUCCAGAAGGUGAGAAAUCAACAGUAACAGUUCAUACCCCUUAAGGCAUGACCAUCACGUCAAUCCCGAAAUUCAACUACGAGCUUUUUAACUGCAACAACUUUAAUAUACGCUAUUGGAGCUGGAAUUACCGCGGCUGCUGGCACCAGACUUGCCCUCCAA
rnacentral:misc_RNA from 1 species